UCUCAGUUCGGAUUGGAGUCUGCAACCCGACUCCAUGAAGCUGGAUUCGCUAGUAAUCGCGCAUCAGCCACGGCGCGGUGAAUACGUUCCCGGGCCUUGUACACACCGCCCGUCAAGCCAUGGAAGCCGGGAGUGCCCGAAGUGCGUGACCGCAAGGAGCGUCCUAAGGCAAUACCGGUGACUGGGGCUAAGUCGUAACAAGGUACC
rnacentral:rRNA from 1 species